CCGAGUGCUGCGAGCUCCAUAUCAGACCCAACCACAGAGAGCAGAGGCUCCAGAGUCAGGGGACAGUAUUGAACUUUUGAUGGCAUGAGGAAACAAACUGGUUUCACCAAAGUUGCACGAGGGCCAGAAACUAAAUGGCUUCAUGAUUGACAAUACAUUUACAUCAAAGGCAGUGUACAUUAGACAAUGACACAUUUACGUUUGUCACCACAGAUUUAGAGGACAGUGGUGUGGAGGUUGACACGACAACAGCAUCUAGUGACCACAGAAGUACCACACCAGUCAUUGUAUGACUACAAGGACUAAGGAUACCUUAAUCCACCUGAGUGACAGAAUAUUUGCUGUUGAGACUGUUCUGAAAUAUUUGGUUUCUGCAUGCAACAAUAAAUAAGAAACAUUUGUUUGCUUGGGACAAGAUCUUUGUUAACCAGUAUAAUAGUGAUUUCCUGACCUGUCCAUAACUUGAUAAUAAAUAUCUAAAUAUUA